UGUAACUCAGUGUCAGUUUUAGUGCAGGAGGUUUUUGUACAGUUGCUGAUUGGGUUUGUAUCACUGUGGAACACGUUCGGUGGAGGAACUCGACUCUCAGUUGGAACUGCCGCUCGUCCCACUCUCACGGUCCUGCCGCCCUCCAGAGAGGAGCUGCAGCAGGGUAAGGCUACAGUGGUGUGUGUGGGCAGUAAGGGAUUCCCCUCUGACUGGAAGCUGAGCUGGAAGGUGGAUGGCAGCAGCAGGAGCUCUGCUGUGAAUCUGAGUCCCAGUGUGCUGCAGAAGGAUGGACUGUACAGCUGGAGCAGCAGCCUGAGCCUCACUGAGAGUGAGUGGAGCAGAGCAACAACCAUCAGCUGUGACGCCACGCACCCAUCCCAGAAUGCAGUGACCGAGAGCCUGAAAACACAGCAGUGUGAUGACCAGUGAAACACACACACACACAUCACACAGAGAUUAUAGACAUGCAUAUUUCAUUUACACUCACACAUAUGCAGCUAUUUCAAAGGACUGUCCUA